rnacentral:misc_RNA from 1 species
GCACUCUCCGUUCCGGCGGCACCUUCUCGCGGAGAAUUACGGGCUCUCACUCUGAAUGCUGACGCCGGUGUGGUUCAUCCUGGUGGCGAUCGCCAUUCCCUGUCAGGCGUACCUGGACGACCGGGUGCUCCUUGAUCAGCACUGGACCGGAUUCAGUCCCACGGUCGGCGGCGCGAGGCGAGAGGAGUCCAAGGCACCCAUCCAGGGUCGCCGCCGACACGCAUCCGCGCGACAAAGUGACAACGAACCCGACAAACGUUCUGCGGGCUUUCACCUGCGCAGUGCCGACAUUGGGCCGCUGAUGGUACGAGAUAUGCGGUCUACCACAGUACGUAACGCGGAGACUUCCCUCCGCUUUCGCAGCGACAAUGUGAGAAGGCCCGAAGUUGCGGAGCGAAGCGUACGCCACGUUCUGAACAAUCUCGAAAGGAUGAGCAGACGAGAAAGGCUUGAUGACGCAAGUGUACGUGGAGGCCGCACCGAGAGAGAUACCUCGAGAACGUUAGAUUUACCAAAGCAAGAACGCGAAAUCGGGGACAGGACACUCCACAGCACAAACGGAAAGGUCUCGCACAGGACGGCCGACGAGCGGCGGAGAACCGCUGCGGACGCACCAACGUGGGUGAAGGAAGAUUCGAGAAGAAGGGUCAGAUCCGCCAAUCGCGAUCUUGUUCUUUCAGGCAGCCGACAGACACCCAGUCGCACAAGCCACUGCGACGAUGGCGCGUCAGUCGUUCGUCAGAGGAAGUCUGUGGAGCGUAUCGAACAUAGGAAUCCGAUUGAACGGCGGGCAUCGAGCUUGGAACGGCUCUCGGGACCCACUGAAACAAGGGAUCAAGGCCGCCAGCUAGACGCAAGGCUCGAGGCGCCUCAUACGCAAGAUGAAAACAACCACGCGUCAAGGAUUGGCGCAGUGCGUCCAGCCUCAAGACGCCAAACACGAGGUAAAAUUAACCGCAACUACCGCGUUCGUGACGCCAUGUACCAAAGCCGUCUGAUCGUGGACCAACGUAACAAUCUCCACGGUUUAGCGAAAACAUUUUCUUUCCGAUCGAAGGCGCUGUCUUCCAGAAACUUAGCUACAGGACGUCAUCAAAUGACUGAUAGGAGACGCAGCGCGACGCUACCAUUACAAGCCAGCACAGAGAGGGACAGAAUAGACAAUAGCCCUCACAACGAAAGGGUGGCAAGUGCAUUAUCUGGGCUUCCAAGACGUGAGAUAAUGCCGCCUAGAAUGAUAUCGGCCGUACGAACACAGAAUCAUAGAGUAGACGGAGACGUGACCCGGAACGUGCGGCAUAUUAGACGUACUGAAACAAGGACGAGCGAACUUCGUUUUUCCUUCCGUGGCACCAGACAACGCGAAGUAAGACGUACUGGCGUCAACAAACGCUACGCCGUUGGUGCUACGGACGAGCGCAGGCCAGUUCGCUUUUUAGCCGAACGUGCACUGCCGAACAUGUCCGAUAAGCGCCAAGAAAGGCACGGCAACUCAUUACCUCUUCUUGAAAGGGUGCGGACUUCAAAAGGGAAGGAAAUUAUGCUGGAAACACGGCACGACCGUAGUUUUAGGCAACAUGACUCCAGGAUCGAUGUACGAUCGAUGUGCGACAGUGAACGUACCAGUUACGUUGUGGACAGAAGCUUCGCGGGCUCAGUACAGCACAAGUGCUCGCGGAAGGUCAGUGAAGUGCGUAGACAGCUGGGCGUCGAUCACGAAAGGCUCGACCGGACGAACACAAGAGAGACAUCAAUCCAAGUUUACCGCGCCAGAUGCCAAAUCUGUAAUGACGACGCGGCUUCGUCUCGCAAUGUUGAACAUGGCCGCCGGCUCUCUACGCCGGUGGACUCUUCGGCAAGGCUUACAAAACGAAGCCGCAACGAGGUUGUUCUUGGGCAAAGCAUCAUUGGGGAAGGCAGGACAAGGGCGCGUGCGAGUGUCACACAACGUUUCCAGUCUGUAGAUCGGGCUGAGAGGCGCCGAGAACUUCGUCACGACAGCAGCGAUGAGCAAAUGCGCUUUGUCGACUCUCGUGAAAGAAUUGUAGUGGACACCAGACGGAACAAUGGUGAAGCCCGGUUAGCUAUCGCGAAAAUGCAAAAUGCUAGACAGAUUCGCGAAGAGUUCGGUUACAAGGCAUCGCGAAGGUCUGCAGACGUGCACAGCCGCCUUAAGACGAACAGUAACGACGCCAUGUUCGACACAACCAGGUCGAUACGCGCCAACAGGCCAGCAGGAGAUAGUUACCGUCAGAGCCUAGAAGAUGCGCGGUCAUCUCUCAUCAGAACGGAGCGAUACAUUUUCGAAAGAAGACAAAGUGACAAGAGGGACAUUGAGGACACUGUGCCCAGCGGUCGCCGUGACAUUGCCAUCACACAUCAGCUUCUUAAGACAGCGCCACAUUCAUCAAGAAGGUUCCAGAACGUUCGUCCAACAGACUUUGGUGGACAGGAGGAACUAAACUACCCUGAAAAGCAUCAGAAGAGCCCGCUGUUUUGGGAUGAACUUACGUCGAGCUAUUUCAGGUCAGACAGCGGCAGCCUGCUCGAGACGGUCCUGACUGUCGGCGUGGUUGCCUUGAUGACCAUGUCGCCAAAAAGGAAGCUCGUGAACUGAUCACAGCUGGAAACCAAACAUGCGCCAGCUCUACGCCGAACCAUUGGGACCCUCCUGCCACACUCCCUGCUUUUUCCAGACCUUACAACACUGAUGAUUUCUUAUAUAGUGAUCCGGUCGGCAAUGCUAUGCACAGCUUCGAUGCAUGCUGUAUAAAAUGACAAAAAAAAAUGCAGAUUAACUUCGACGACCUGUGGCGGCGGUCCUACAAUAGACAUCUCGAACAAAGUAGGUUGCUCCUCUGGUCCAUGAAGUGGUUUGUGUAGUGUUCCUGUAUAUCUCCCAUACAGUAACUUCAAAGUGCACAUAUUAGACUACGCUAUUGCCUCGUUACAUUACGAGGGACAAUGGUCCUGUCAAAACUAAAAAAAAAAGAAUGCCUGCUAGCUUAUGCCAGAACAGCAGUUGGCUAGCAUGUUCGCAAGAACCACUCUAAAAUCUCAGAACGUAUACAUAACCAUCCACUCCCCGAUAUAUUAUGCCCAAUAAUAUAUCGUAUACGUAUACCAUAUGAAAAUAAGCACAAUGAAGCCGCUUACUUCACGUUUAAAUGCGCACCUUUCCAACCUUUUUUAUGACCCCCAACCUCGAUCCGUAUUGCCACGUGUGAGGAUUACCCUUUCACAUAGAGGAAGGGCGUUCCUCUGUGCCCUCUCAUGUAAAUGUGUAUACGCAAAUCAAACCGCUUAAUUACUUCUGAGCAAAAACUAUAGAAAUAAACGCCCAAUAUUCCCAAAUAACCCCGCUUUUUAUUCACAUGCGCAAAAUAGUCAAGACGAUUGCACUGUCCUCAGGCCACACAGCCUUCCCAAGUAAAUUACGUAGCCAAGAUGUGCUUGACUAGGUUCUUUAUAUAUCACUGCAUGAUGGCAUUGAGAUGCUUGUCCCUUAUCAACAUGCCUGGUUCAGGGACCACAGCUUGAUUUUUAUAUUUCAGCAGAUAUGUUCGUUUCUAAAAAAAGGAGCUUUGAUGUGCUGCCUAGCUUAUACAGCCCGAUUAAAAGAAAUCGUGGACAUUAUAAUUUGCAUAGGAAAGCAAAACAACCACAUAAGCAUGAAAUGUAUAUCACAUAAGCAUGAAAUGUAUAUCACUGAUCUGCUAUUUAAUUAGUGAUUUAAAGAUGAUGUUUACGUAGGUGACUUCAGGUCUGUCAUUUUCCAAGGCCGUUCCAUUUGAAAACUUUUCAUACGCGAUUGCGCGUCAAAAUGUCCGCUGCUAAAAUUUCAGACCACCAACUUCAUUUCAUAAAACUGCACCUCACGCGCCUGGGCGGAGGCGUGACGUAGGCGUGACGUAGGCGGACGAUGAUGCAAUCGUCAGUUAACUCGAGCAAGAGCAUUACGGAGACGAAAUUUUGAGAACGGAUAUUACGACCGCACAAUUGCGUAACAACAAAUUUUUAAUGAAAAUGACCUUAGAAAGUGGCAUGCUUUAAAUGCACAAUAUAAACAUACGUCCUAAAAUCUAUUUACAUUACAGUCUCUGUUUAAGUGAACGCCUAUUUAUUAUGUAAUUAAUGUCAACCUCUCUAAAUAAUAUUGCGAGGAGGCAGUCUCCCUCUUUUUUAGCAAGAAAGAGAUGGCGGCAGACGGCCUCUUUUUUUUUUUUCCCCCAAAUAGAAAAAUGCGUAUAAAUGUAUAAAUGUAAAAUUAAAACCGUCAGCGCACUGACAGUUGUUCACGCAAGGCAGGCCGCCAUAUUGAAGAGAACACAGAAUAUGCGGCUGGUCUUAUUUGUGAUGCAGGUGCUCCAUAAAAUACAAAUUACCAAGAAUGGUUUCUCGUCCGAGUCGCAUGGCAUUGCCGACCGCUUACAACUACAGUCUUGUACGCCUGCUGUUAUAUAUGUUCUCUACAAAUGCUUGACCUCAGAAAGUUGAAAUAAAUAUACUGUUGCAUUGCAUAA